rnacentral:lncRNA from 1 species
AUGAGAAAACAAAGGCGCCAUCCAGAGAAGGAGCGUUGUAAUUACUCUAGGCAGCACGAAAUCCAGUUUGCCAACCACCUUGUUGAGAUGCAUAGACAGGGUGAAAUUAGGGACAAUAUUAGUUCCUACGUGGUUCCCGAAAUUCAGCGCCGGUUAAACGGGCAGUACGGCACCUCGUUUACUGAGGAUAGUAUAAGGGGCAAGUACUAUGCAUUGCGCGGGGAGACCAAGCUGUACAUUUCCUUUAAGAGGCGCGGAACGGGAAUGGGUUGGGAUAGCCAGAAGUUUACAUGGCUUAUGGAUGAUAGCCAAUGGGCCGCGAUGGAGCAGGUAUCCACAUUUUCUGUGCCUUUUUUUUUAUAUAAACUGUUUUGUCAUUUCAUACGUGUAAUAUUCCAUUAAAUCCUGUUUUGGCUGAAUUUGUUUUGUCAGGUCAACCCAAAAUACGGCAAAUUUCGGAAUGACUGCACCGUCUACCAUUUGCUUGAGGAAGUCUUCGUCAACCAAGGAGCGACGGGAGACUUCAGUUCUGGCUUCGAGAACGAGCUCCGUACUUCAGCCGAUGAGCGAGAAAUGGAGACUACUGCCCGGCUUGCACGGGGAAAGGGAUCAAGGUCCAGCAGGGACGAGGAAGCUGAAAUUGAGGUACGGGGGCCAAAAGAAGCGAAAGGAAAGGGGGGGAAAGGAAAGCGGAAGUCGGGUGAUGGCUCUGGCUGUAGUCCCAUGUCCACCGCUUCUGGCUCAGUGACCGAUAGAUAUCUCAGGGUCUGUGAAAGCAUCGAGUCACUGGUUAGUCGGAAGAAGAGCUCCAGCACGAGUGCCUCAGUUAGUUCUCCGGACAAGAAUCGUUCUGGCCGCGAUCCAUCGAAGAAAACCGACUAUGAAAUUGCCAUGGAUCAACUUAAACUUAUUGAGAACGUCAAUUUCAUGGCCAAAUACAAGGCAGCUGAGAUAUUGAAGGAUAAACAAGAGCUGGAUGUUUGGAAUUUAGCUGCAAGUGACGCCGACCGCAUCACUUGGAUGAAGCUAAAAGGCUGUUUCCCCCCUGACUCUCAGGAGCCCCCUCCCCCACCCCCCUUUUAGGUGCUUUCGUUGUUCAUCAGGAGCAUUUAUUUGAAACUUGAGUUGUUGCCUAAUGUUUGUUUGUAUUUGAGAUCUGUUAGGUGUAGCAUUUGCUACCGGAACUUGGACUUUAUCCUUUCUGAGUGUUGUGGUUUGUAUAUUUGAAUUUGCGGAUGAAUACUGGUUUGUUGAGUUGUUGUGUUGCGGAUGAAUGUUGAGUAAUUAAAUUCAUGAUGCCUUUGUUUAAGAAUUGGUUUGCGGAUUGAAGAUUUUUUUUUGUUUCAUUUAAAACUGGUUUGUGUUCGUUUCUAUUAGGUUGGAUAUAACAAAUCAUGGUGAUAUGACUGUUGUUGGAUCGCAUUUUUUUUUUUAGGAAAUGUACUGGUUGGGCUAUUGCUAUGUCUGUUUCGAGUGAUACUUAUUAAGAGUGAUAGUUUCAUCCAUGCAGGUUGUUGGAAUGUCAGGAAUACGUAGGGCAGUUUUUUCCUUACUUAUUGCUAUGUUUGUUGUUGGAAUGUCAGGAAUAGUAGGUUCAGAAAAAUUGUAAGAGUUGGAUAAUAAGAAAGAUGUAACGGAUAACGUUCCUUACUUGGCGUACAGUUUAUAUAGUAAAGAAUAUGUGUCACUUAUUUCAAGAAUAUGUCUAAUUUCAUCCACGCAGCUCAAUUGUGCGACUUACUUCAAGAAUUAUAUGAAGUAAUUCAAGUAAGGGACAAAAUUCCUUACUUGGCCUGAAUUUUCGAAUAAAGAAUAAUCUAUCUAUCUAUCUAUCUUAACAAAGAUAGAAUAAAGAAUAAAGAAUAAAGAUGAUCUAUCUUAAUAAAGAAUAAAGAAAAUUCCUUACUUACUUUAACAAAGAUGAUCUAUCUAUCUUGGCCUGAAAUUCCUCUCAACAUCCGCUGAAAUGGAUGUCCAUUUCAACAAAGACUUAUUCAACAAAAGUCUUUCAACAACUAAUUGGCAGAUCAAUUUCAACAUCCGCUGAAAUGGAUGUCCAUUUCAAAGACUUAUCUCAACAUCCGCUGAAAUGGAUGUCCAUUUCAACAAAAGUCCAUUUCAACAAAGACUUAUUCAAAAUUGAAGUAAGGGACAAGAAAAAAGCAACUUUUGGAAGGAAAAUAGGUGCUUUUAGGUAUGAUGAUCAUUUUUAGAGCAAGUAUUAAGUAGGGAAUAUGACUUACUUCAACAACUAUUUUGAAGAAUAUGUCUUACUUGGACAAUUCUUUCAAGAAUACGUGACUUGCUUGAAGAAGAUGUAAGAUUCUUUUUAUGAAGUACGAUGCAAAACUUCUACUGGAUUCCUCAACUUGUUGGCUAUAAAUUGGUUGGCGAAGGCUCUAGGCUAUUUCAAGAACUUAUCGUAUUGUCUUACAAACCAAUCGAAUAGCCUAUAUAUUUCAAGAACUUAUCCUCUUGGCUUACAAACCAAUCCUCUUGUCUUACAAACCAAGAACUUAUCCUCUUGGCUAUAAAUUUGUUGGCCAAUAGGUUUUUGUUCAAUUUUGGUCCAUGUAUAUGUUGAAUUUUAUAUUUCCUACUCUGUUUUGGCAAAUUAAGAUUGGCUUUGAAUGAUAUCUCUGUUUUCCUUUUUUUUUUUCAGAUUCACGUCCAAUGCAGUCGCACAGAUUGAACGAAAUGGAGUAUGAUGGUUAUGUGAAUGGUGGGAACUCAUCUGAUGACUCGGACGACGAGGAGCUCAUGUUGGCCUUCGCUGCCUUUAUUCUUGCUGGAUUGGCCUUAUUCGACCCGUACAUCAACUCGGGCCAGCGGCGAAGAAUUCGAGAUAGUGCACAGUCAGGUCCUCAAUAUGUUAUCGAGCUGAUAAACGGCCAUCGAGACAGAAUAUUCGACAACCUUCGAAUGGAAGCUCCCCUUUUCCUCCAAUUGUGUGACUUGUUGGUUCAGAGGGGCUAUUGGGUGCCCCACCCGACACAACGGGUGGGGAUUCAUGAGUCCGUUGCUAUAUGCCUGCUGUGUUUGAGCCAUAAUGAGCGACAUAGGGUGCUUGCCGAGAGAUUCCAACAUUCUCCCGAGACAACGGACCGCCAUCUACGACGCUGCCUUAGAUCUCUCGUUCGAUUGGGACGCGACCUGGUCCGACCGGUAGAUUAUCACACAACCCAUCCAAGAAUACAGAACAGUGCUUUGUUUUGGCCCUGGUUUAAGGUUAUGAGCUACUAUGUCAAAUUACUAUUUCAUUUUGUCUAACAGCUGUGACCAACUUAUGUCUAGAAUUUUUUUUUUUAUUAGGAUUGCGUUGGAGCGAUUGACGGAACACAUGUUUCGGCCUGGUGUACAGCCGAAGACAGGGAACGUUACCGGAACCGGCAUGGUAGCUUAUCACAAAACGUUCUAGCCGUGUGUGAUCACAACAUGAGAUUUACUUAUGUCAGGGUAGGGUGGGAGGGUAGCGCACAUGAUUCUAGAAUCUUACAAGAAGUCAUACAAGAUCCUAAUUGUGCAUUUCCGUGGCCACCAGCAGGUUAGUCCAGAUUAAAUCACAUAAUUCCUUUCCGCAAUGCGUCUUCAAAGUUUAUAUAAAUAUAAUUUCAUUAUGCCAGGGAAGUAUUAUGCGGUGGACGCAGCUUACCAGAAUAUGACAGGAUUUAUGGCUCCAUUUAAAGGUGCACGGGGAACCGCGCAAGAGCGGGCAGUGAGGAUACUUUUCAACAAACGUCAUGCAUCGUUAAGAAACAUUAUAGAACGUACGUUUGGCGUCUUGAAGAAACGAUUUCCAAUACUUAAGGGCCCUAUGCAGAAUUACAUGAUGGCUACGCAAAAUAAUAUUGUCCUGGCUUGUAUGGCCUUGCACAACUUCAUGCGCGAGUAUGUUCCAAAUGAUGCAUAUUUUGCCGAAGAAGAAGCAGAUAUAGCAUUGGCAGAUAACAUAAACCCCUUCAACCCAAUGCCAGCAGCACAAGGACCAGAUAUGUCGGCUGCAGGAAUUGCUGAAUGGAAUGAAAGUAGGAGAGCAAUAGCCGAUAUGAUGUACUAUUAUCAGCACCAGUAGAACAUCUCCUGUCAUUAUUUGUUCAGAUAGUAGGCCCAAUAAAUUGUACACUUAUGUCUCGUCUAUGUAUUAAAAAAUUGAUAAUUGUUUAAGUGCAAAUGGCACUCAGUAUUUCGAACACAGCCCUAAAAAAAAUUAAAUGUUGUUUUUCAAAAACAGUGAAUCCAUACACGCUUGUUUUUCAAAAACACUCUGUUUUUGAAAAACAACUAAUCCAAACAACAUUGAGUGUUUUUCAAAAAAUGAAUAGUGCUGUUUUUAAAAAACAACCCCAAAAACAGCUAAUCCAAACGGAGCCACUCCGUUUGGAUUGUCAAUUUUUGCUAAAACUGUUUUUGUCUUUCAAAAACAACCACUAAUUGUAUUUUGGUUACAAUAAAGUCUACAGUUAAAAAAUGACAAAACUACGUCGUUUUGACAAAAAUUGCCAAAAGACUUGUUCUCGGACUGCAUCUAUCGUUGACAGUUGACACCCAUUCAACCCUCAUAUCACUUUCCCAAACAAGCAAACAUUCUAGCCGCUUCUCUUGAAAAAAACAAGCAAACCAUAGUGGAUUCAAGAUCUGCAAAAUUUCACCGGAUCUGCAACCAAUGACGUGAAUCUGAGCCCAUUUACGCCGCGAUCACAGCCCUUUUCCUACGAUUGAGACACUUAACCACGGCGGGUCUUCAGCUCCAAAAAGCAACCGACGGUAGAGCAUCUUCGCUGUGCAGGUCGAAUAAGGUAAGCUCUGAUUUCCCUGCUUAUUUUACCUUUUCCAGGGCUGAUUAUAUGAGGUAAACCAGGGUGGGAGUGUUGCGUUUUGACCUUGGGGAAGCUUAUCACACGAACAUGAGUCUGUUGGGUGUCUGAAAUCUUUAGGUCAGCAACAAAGAUAUCAAAUCCUUCGCCCCUAUGAUUAUAUCAUUUUCUGUAUGUAAUAACUGAAGUAAAAUCCAUUAUAUUCAGGCCUUCCUGGAAAUCUUGGAUGCUAAUUUAAGAUGGUACGCAGUAAAUUACAUUCUGCUUGUUUUACUGGUUCUCAUAGUCAGUCGAAUUGAUGCAUUUGUCCGAAGAAUUGUGAAAAACGGGGGAAGGGGAAGGGGAGCUUGUUAGCUCUGUAUCAUGCUUUCUGUGUCGGAGCGAUUUCCCAUAUCAGAUGGGGAGCUCUUUUUAAAGUUUUCUUGUCCUGUACUUUGUCCUGGUCUUGGUAUUGGUCUGAGAUUUCAAUAAUGGAAGGAACAGCACCAAGUCCAUUGUUUUUGAAUUUGAUUUACUUCCUACCAGUACUCAAUCUAUCAUAUUGAGAAUCGUUCAGAUUAUAUACCUUUAUUACCGAAUGGACAAAUCCUGGAAAUUGCUUGAUUUGUUUAUCCCCUUCCAAAAUAGAGAAUCGUUCAGAUUAUAUCACUUAUUUUCUCUCUGGAUAACUUUCGAGGUGAAAUCCUGGUCUUGUCCAAACUGUAAAUUAUAUGAUGUGAUUGUGGUUAGCUCGGCCUUGUACCAAUUUCAUGUAAAUUUUUCCAUAGAAAGCUAUUAAUGAAUACUUCAAAGUACCAAUUUUUAGCUGCAGAAGGUCGUGCUUGCAAUGAAUGCCUAACUAGUUUGACAUGCAGCAAAUCCCAAUAAAUUGUUUGUGGUGUUUACUUUUAAUUAAGUUUGGUCUAGAAAUGUUCACUUUCUCUUCUGAAUGCAAAUUAAAGCUUACGUUACAGUCUUGGGUUUGGCUUAAGAUGCUCUAAUGUCCAUUUUCAUCUAUUAGAUUACAAGUAAAUUGUAAAACUUAUGCGAAGUCAUGUAGGAUUACAAAGAUUUAGAAGUUCAAAGGGAGCAUUGUACCUCUUAAUCCAACAUGUAACCUGUCUCAUUAUCACCCUGUAAACCGCUUUUUUGUUAGACUGAACUGGCUGUAGUCAUCAACAAUCACCAUUUCAGUACGCUUAGACCUUUCCUAUUAUUCUUCUUAGUAAAGAUGCUUGGUAGGUGUUGUUUUUGGCAUCAGGUACCUUCUGUUUGUCAUGUCAACAUUCUCUAUCAAUUUUUUGAUAGGAGGUAUGAUUGAUAUUGGUGGUAUUGCAUCACUUUUUUGUGUACCUGUUAGAUUAAUCUCAGGAGAAUCUGCAGGAGCAGUAUAUAUGUGAUUGUAGAGAACUCAUCUUUAUUCUUCAAUUUCUUGUCAUCUGUGUGUGCACUCAACAAGUUAAGGACAACUGAUCUGAUUGCACUCAUAACUCUAACUAAAUCAAGAAGAAUAGUAUCCAGAUUGAUCUCUACUUCAAAAAGCUUACCAUUUUUCCCUCUUUGAUGAUUCAAUUAGCACUUUCUUUUUCUCUUUUGUGGAUGUGGAAAGUUAACUCAAUUUGAGUUCCUUAGUUGUCUAUAAUUUGCUUACUUCUGAAACUUUCGGUUGUCGCAUAAUAUUUUCUCUUGAUUGAAACCUGGACAGAAUAUUCGACGGCUGUUGCUACAUGUUCCAAAUAUUUAUGUAGCUAUUUUAUUACUUCAAACUUGCGCGAUGAGAUGUCGAGAGUCAAAUUUUAGGGCAGUUUGAUUUCCCAAAAGCAACUGAAUUUAUAAAGCAUUCUAACUUCUCCUUGCUCUCCAUUUGCUUAUACAGGGUGGUUUAUCGCUCUAUAUUGCCGCUGGCUAGGAUUUCAUGCCCCCUGUUACCCGCCGUGCUGCCAAAGGUAUAUUUGCCAAUUUCCCCUUUGUUCAGUGCAUUCUAUAGUAUGGUUGUCUAGUAGUUGACGAUCCUUGUUGUUGACACAGCAUUGAAGCCGAUUGGGAUCCAGAAAUCUCUUGGAACCAGGUCUGAUUGGGCGGAAAACGAUAUUCGGCAGUGCCUUUCUAACUACUACAAGGUACCAUUGUACCUCCUGUACUUUUUUUUCCAUUAUUAUGUGUCUGAAACACCAUUUUAGUCAUAAUAUGUUAGGGGGCUGACUCUUCUAAAGUUGGACCUUCUUCCCUGUCCCACGAAACAGCAAAAUCGAACAUUUUUACCUCAUUGCCUUGAAUAUUAUUGUCGGAUUUCACUAUGCAUGGUAGCAUUUGUUAUUUAGUUCGUUUUUGUCAUAACCAAAAUACAGAACAGUGCUGAUUUGCUAAAGCGAAAGGAUGUUAAUAUUGGCUGUCCAUGCUAAGAACAGAGCCUUGCUGUGAGGAGGACAUGAUAGGGACUAUUUCCAUUGUUCAAAGUAACACUGACAGGAUGUUAAUAUUGAUGUGUAGUAUAUGUACUGUUAAGCCAUAAGCUAUCGUCCAAUGUGUUUCAAUCAAUAUAUGAGGAACAAAUAUGGAAAACUUCCUCUACCAGAAAUAGUACUCUACUUGUCCUGGAAAGCUCUUUCCAUUUGGUUGGACAGUGGUGGCAUUUCGGAGAAGAAAAAUGCAUGUGUCAACUGGUCUAAAUUUCUGAAAAAAAGAACUAUUAAUUUACAUCCUGUCUACUAUUAGAAGAAGCUUUCAGCACCUGUUUUUUGAGAUCACUUUUGUCUUGAACUGGAACAGUCUUCUUUCUUGGCUUGACUUUAUGUGGGAAAGAGUUAUAUGUGCAUUUUUGGAUUUGGGUGCUCUUUAUAUGGAUAAUGUGGAAGGAAAAGAACUUUGAAGUUUUAAAUUGGAAUAAAACAGAGUUAAGGAGCUUACGAACUAAAGCGAAACUUCACAUUACCAAAAUACAGAACAGUGCUGAUUUGCUAGUGUUAUGUUGGAUGAGUGCUCAAUUUAACUUUUAGUUCUAGAUUUUUUACAUUUUGUUAACAGAUUUGGUUUGAUCCUCAUUACAAUACAUGAUUUGGCUUGAUCCUCAUUACAUCCUCAUGAUUUUUUGGUUAUAGAAGAAGUGUAUUUAAUGGCCGACAGAUUUGGGUUAUCCACAUAAGUGUUAAAUGGCUUUAAAUAAAAUUUAGCCGCUUAUGCAAUACAAUCUGUUUUCCUUUCUAAAAAGCUGCUUACAAUCUGUUUUUUUCAACUGGAUUUGUGUAUGGCUUAUUAAGAUGAGAAAACAAAGGCGCCAUCCAGAGAAGGAGCGUUGUAAUUACUCUAGGCAGCACGAAAUCCAGUUUGCCAACCACCUUGUUGAGAUGCAUAGACAGGGUGAAAUUAGGGACAAUAUUAGUUCCUACGUGGUUCCCGAAAUUCAGCGCCGGUUAAACGGGCAGUACGGCACCUCGUUUACUGAGGAUAGUAUAAGGGGCAAGUACUAUGCAUUGCGCGGGGAGACCAAGCUGUACAUUUCCUUUAAGAGGCGCGGAACGGGAAUGGGUUGG